GCGAUUGCAGAUUCAGUGAGUCAUCGAAAUUUUGAACGCAUAUUGCACUUUCGGGUUAUGCCUGGAAGUAUGUCUGUAUCAGUGUCCGUAAAUCAAACUUGCCUUUCUUUUUCUGUGUAGUCAGGGAUGGAAUGUGCAGAUGUGAAGUGUCUCGCAUGGUUGCGUUCGUUUUUUCGAUCGAGAAUCUGUCGAGUCCUUUUAAAUGGACACGGUCUUUUCUAUGGUUUCUAUGAAGUGUAAUGGUUGGAAGGCAGUGAUUUUCGGAUUGCUGGCGGCUUUUGGCGACUUCGGUAUGAACGUAUGGAGACUAGCUCAAUUCGUGGUAUGUUAGGCUUCGGCUCGACAAUGUUGCGUAAUUGUGUGUGGUCUUUGUUUGUGCCUUGAGGUGUACUAGAGGUUGUCGGUUUGAACCGUAAGUGAUUGUUUAGUAGAGCAUUUUCACGAUGUAUGGAGACGCUGCAUUUAGUUGCGUAGAGAGAUUGAUUUGGGAAAUUUUGUAUCAUUGUCAAUUGCAAGAUUGUGUAUGGUAUCUCAAUUGGACCUGAUAUCAGACAAGACUACCCGCUGAACUUAAGCAUAUCAAUACGGGAGGAAA
rnacentral:rRNA from 1 species